GGGUUGUGAGGUUAAGUGACUAAGCGUACACGGUGGAUGCCUAGGCAGUCAGAGGCGAUGAAGGGCGUGCUAAUCUGCGAAAAGCGUCGGUAAGGUGAUAUGAACCGUUAUAACCGGCGAUACCCGAAUGGGGAAACCCAGUGUGUUUCGACACACUAUCAUGUCAUGAAUACAUAGUGGCAUGAGGCGAACCGGGGGAACUGAAACAUCUAAGUACCCCGAGGAAAAGAAAUCAACCGAGAUUCCCCCAGUAGCGGCGAGCGAACGGGGAGGAGCCCAGAACCUGAAUCGGCUUGUGUGUUAGUGGAAGCGUCUGGAAAGUCGCGCAGCAAAGGGUGAUAGCCCCGUACACUAAAAUGCACAGGUCGUGAGUUCGAUGAGUAGGGCGGGACACGUGACAUCCUGUCUGAAUAUGGGGGGACCAUCCUCCAAGGCUAAAUACUCCUGACUGACCGAUAGUGAACCAGUACCGUGAGGGAAAGGCGAAAAGAACCCCGGCGAGGGGAGUGAAAUAGAACCUGAAACCGUGUACGUACAAGCAGUGGGAGCACCUUCGUGGUGUGACUGCGUACCUUUUGUAUAAUGGGUCAGCGACUUAUAUUUUGUAGCAAGGUUAACCGUAUAGGGGAGCCGUAGGGAAACCGAGUCUUAACUGGGCGACUAGUUGCAAGGUAUAGACCCGAAACCCGGUGAUCUAGCCAUGGGCAGGUUGAAGGUUGGGUAACACUAACUGGAGGACCGAACCGACUAAUGUUGAAAAAUUAGCGGAUGACUUGUGGCUGGGGGUGAAAGGCCAAUCAAACCGGGAGAUAGCUGGUUCUCCCCGAAAGCUAUUUAGGUAGCGCCUCGUGAUAACAUUCUUCGGGGGUAGAGCACUGUUUCGGCUAGGGGGCCAUCCCGGCUUACCAAACCGAUGCAAACUCCGAAUACCGAAGAAUGUUAUCACGGGAGACACACGGCGGGUGCUAACGUCCGUCGUGAAGAGGGAAACAACCCAGACCGCCAGCUAAGGUCCCAAAGUCAUGGUUAAGUGGGAAACGAUGUGGGAAGGCAUAGACAGCCAGGAUGUUGGCUUAGAAGCAGCCAUCAUUUAAAGAAAGCGUAAUAGCUCACUGGUCGAGUCGGCCUGCGCGGAAGAUGUAACGGGGCUAAACCAUGCACCGAAGCUGCGGCAGCGACGCUUAGGCGUUGUUGGGUAGGGGAGCGUUCUGUAAGCCGUUGAAGGUGGCCUGUGAGGGUUGCUGGAGGUAUCAGAAGUGCGAAUGCUGACAUAAGUAACGAUAAAGCGGGUGAAAAGCCCGCUCGCCGGAAGACCAAGGGUUCCUGUCCAACGUUAAUCGGGGCAGGGUGAGUCGACCCCUAAGGCGAGGCUGAAAAGCGUAGUCGAUGGGAAACAGGUUAAUAUUCCUGUACUUGGUGUUACUGCGAAGGGGGGACGGAGAAGGCUAGGCUAGCCGGGCGACGGUUGUCCCGGUUUAAGCGUGUAGGGGGUGUGACCUGGUAAAUCCGGUUGCAUACUAACCCUGAGGCGUGAUGACGAUGCACUACGGUGCAGAAGUAGUUGAUGCCCUGCUUCCAGGAAAAUCCUCUAAGCUCCAGGUAACAUUAAAUCGUACCCCAAACCGACACAGGUGGUCAGGUAGAGAAUACCAAGGCGCUUGAGAGAACUCGGGUGAAGGAACUAGGCAAAAUGGUGCCGUAACUUCGGGAGAAGGCACGCUGGCAUGUAGGUGAAGUCCCUCGCGGAUGGAGCUGAAGCCAGUCGAAGAUACCAGCUGGCUGCAACUGUUUAAUAAAAACACAGCACUGUGCAAACACGAAAGUGGACGUAUACGGUGUGACGCCUGCCCGGUGCUGGAAGGUUAAUUGAUGGGGUCAGCCGCAAGGCGAAGCUCUUGAUCGAAGCCCCAGUAAACGGCGGCCGUAACUAUAACGGUCCUAAGGUAGCGAAAUUCCUUGUCGGGUAAGUUCCGACCUGCACGAAUGGCGUAAUGAUGGCCAGGCUGUCUCCACCCGAGACUCAGUGAAAUUGAACUCGCUGUGAAGAUGCAGUGUACCCGCGGCAAGACGGAAAGACCCCGUGAACCUUUACUAUAGCUUGACACUGAACAUUGAGCCUUGAUGUGUAGGAUAGGUGGGAGGCUUUGAAGCGUGGACGCCAGUCUGCGUGGAGCCAUCCUUGAAAUACCACCCUUUAAUGUUUGAUGUUCUAACUCGGCCCCGUAAUCCGGGGUGAGGACAGUGUCUGGUGGGUAGUUUGACUGGGGCGGUCUCCUCCCAAAGAGUAACGGAGGAGCACGAAGGUUAGCUAAUCACGGUCGGACAUCGUGAGGUUAGUGCAAAGGCAUAAGCUAGCUUGACUGCGAGAGUGACGGCUCGAGCAGGUACGAAAGUAGGUCUUAGUGAUCCGGUGGUUCUGAAUGGAAGGGCCAUCGCUCAACGGAUAAAAGGUACUCCGGGGAUAACAGGCUGAUACCGCCCAAGAGUUCAUAUCGACGGCGGUGUUUGGCACCUCGAUGUCGGCUCAUCACAUCCUGGGGCUGAAGUAGGUCCCAAGGGUAUGGCUGUUCGCCAUUUAAAGUGGUACGCGAGCUGGGUUUAGAACGUCGUGAGACAGUUCGGUCCCUAUCUGCCGUGGGCGUUGGAAGAUUGAGAGGGGUUGCUCCUAGUACGAGAGGACCGGAGUGAACGCACCACUGGUGUUCGGGUUGUCAUGCCAAUGGCAUUGCCCGGUAGCUAAGUGCGGAAAAGAUAAGCGCUGAAAGCAUCUAAGCGCGAAACUUGCCUCAAGAUGAGUCUUCCCUGGGCCUUCAAGGCCCCUGAAGGAACGUUUAAGACUAAGACGUUGAUAGGCUGGGUGUGUAAGUGCAGCGAUGCAUUGAGCUAACCAGUACUAAUGAUCCGUGAGGCUUAACCUUACAACACCGAAGGUGUUU
rnacentral:rRNA from 1 species